CUCGCAGGGACAAGCAAACCUUUUGUCAUUAAUUAAAACUGUUUGUCUCUGCCACAGAUAAUGUUUAGGGCUGGGACUUUACAGAAAGUUCAGCGCUAUCUUCACUGCCAGCUGUGAUUAUCUGUCAUUACAGAGCAGAAAAUCCUAAGAAAUACACUCUUCAGUGUCAGCAAAAUGAAAACCUUCAGAUCCUCUGGGUAGUCAUCUCGCACCCUCAAAAGGGAUCCUCUCAAAAGUUAUCACAAUAUUUGCAACCAUUAUGGCCCUUAACAUCUAGAAGUGGGGACCAAGAAGUUUAAUUCAGAAGAGAUUGAGAACUAUAUAUAAAAAGCAACCUACAGCUACAUUCUAGAAACUGCUCUGUGCUACUCAACUGGCUUGGAUCUAGAGGAAGAGUCUGGAUUACCUGGGGGAAGUCAGGCAUUCCCCCUGCCUGUCAACUUUCAAGAUAUCUGCAUUUGGAGGAGUAGCAGGAAGAAUGGAUGAGGUGGCUGUCACCUUGAGACCUUUUCCUUCUGACUUGUACAGAUACACACAGGGGCCACCAAACUUUUUCUGUGAAGGGCCAGAGAGUAAAUAUUUGAAGAUUUCUGGGCCAUGCAGUCUCUGUCUAGACGACUCAGCUCCACCGCUGUCAUUGCAAAGCAGCCAGAGACCAUAGACACAUCAAUGCCUGGUGCUGUGUUUCAAUAAAACUUUAUUCGCG
rnacentral:lncRNA from 10 species